AAAGAUGCUGAUUUUUAUGUUGAAGAUCACUGAAGAGUGUUGCCUAUAUGAGAGCAAUUUCUCAUAAUGAAGGGUGAAGAUGAAAGUGUUAAUCUCUUACACUUGGGAACCAACAGACAACCUCAUAUUUCAAAACCAUAAAAUGCAUUACUGAAACAUGGAAAGUCAAAAACGAAUGUAUGGAUUUAGAGGAUGUCUGAUUGAGAAAAUGAUGGUGGAUUCAAAAUUCUCCAUCAUCUCUAUCAUGAGUGAUUGUUGAAGCUUUAGUUCAAACCCAAACACGAGACGACAGCAGUUGUGGAUUCUAAAUCUUCCUCAAGUGUAUUUGUUUUCUAAACAGUAAUAGAUGACUUUCAGUCUUUAUACUUGCAAUUUUAGUUUGUCAGUUUUUGUUCCCAAAAUUAUUGUGGAUUCAUACAUCUUAGAGUGGUUCUUUAAUGCCUGUUAUUUUUUUGGGUCGUUUUUGACUUGCUUGUAUGUAAUCUUUUAUUGAGUUCAUUUUUCCUUAUGAUCUUUUCUA